GACGAACGCUGGCGGCGUGCUUAACACAUGCAAGUCGAACGGAAAGGCCCUGCUUUUGUUGGGUGCUCGAGUGGCGAACGGGUGAGUAACACGUGAGUAACCUGCCCUUGACUUUGGGAUAACUUCUGGUAACUGGGGAUAAUACCGGAUAGGAGCUCCUGCUGCAUGGUGUGGGUUGGAAAGUUUCGGCGGUUGGGGAUGGACUCGCGGCUUAUCAGCUUGUUGGUGGGGUAGUGGCUUACCAAGGCUUUGACGGGUAGCCGGCCUGAGAGGGUGACCGGCCACAUUGGGACUGAGAUACGGCACAGACUCCUACGGGAGGCAGCAGUGGGGAAUAUUGCACAAUGGGCGGAAGCCUGAUGCAGCAACGCCGCGUGCGGGAUGACGGCCUUCGGGUUGUAAACCGCUUUCGCCUGUGACGAAGCGUGAGUGACGGUAAUGGGUAAAGAAGCACCGGCUAACUACGUG
rnacentral:rRNA from 1 species